rnacentral:rRNA from 1 species
CAGCAGCCACGGUAAUACGAAGGGUGCAAGCGUUAAUCGGAAUUACUGGGCGUAAAGCGUGCGUAGGCGGUUUGUUAAGUCUGCUGUGAAAUCCCCGGGCUCAACCUGGGAAUGGCAGUGGAUACUGGCAAGCUAGAGUGUGUCAGAGGAUGGUGGAAUUCCCGGUGUAGCGGUGAAAUGCGUAGAGAUCGGGAGGAACAUCAGUGGCGAAGGCGGCCAUCUGGGACAACACUGACGCUGAGGCACGAAAGCGUGGGGAGCAAACAGGAUUAGAGACCCCCGUAGUCCCUGUCUCUUAUAC